AGGGAAGAAAUCCCUAAGGAUAAUACCCUUGGGGGAUGACGGUACCAAAAGAAUAAGCACCGGCUAACUACGUGCCAGCAGCCGCGGUAAUACGUAGGGUGCAAGCGUUAAUCGGAAUUACUGGGCGUAAAGCGUGCGCAGGCGGUUUUGUAAGACAGGUGUGAAAUCCCCGAGCUCAACUUGGGAACUGCACUUGUGACUGCAAGACUAGAGUGUGUCAGAGGGAGGUAGAAUUCCACGUGUAGCAGUGAAAUGCGUAGAUAUGUGGAGGAAUACCAGUGGCGAAGGCGGCCUCCUGGGAUAACACUGACGCUCAUGUACGAAAGCGUGGGGAGCAAACAGGAUUAGAUACCCUGGUAGUCCACGCCCUAAACGAUGUCAACUGGUUGUUGGGGAUUCAUUUCCUUAGUAACGAAGCUAACGCGUGAAGUUGACCGCCUGGGGAGUACGGUCGCAAGAUUAAAAACUCAAAAUGAAUUGACGGG
rnacentral:rRNA from 1 species